UGGUUUAAUUCGAAGCAACGCGAAGAACCUUACCAAAUCUUGACAUCCUUUGACAACUCUAGAGAUAGAGCUUUCCCCUUCGGGGGACAAAGUGACAGGUGGUGCAUGGUUGUCGUCAGCUCGUGUCGUGAGAUGUUGGGUUAAGUCCCGCAACGAGCGCAACCCUUAAGCUUAGUUGCCAUCAUUAAGUUGGGCACUCUAAGUUGACUGCCGGUGACAAACCGGA
rnacentral:rRNA from 1 species